rnacentral:lncRNA from 1 species
UCAACAUGCAAAUUGCUGAACUUGGAAAUUUUGAUAUUACGAAAUUGUUCCCGUUUGAUAAAGCUUCCGCCCAAAAUGAGGAAUUUGAUCAAUUUACGCCAUCUCGAUAUAAAAGGUGCAAAGCUGCUGAAGGAGAUGCCAUUGGGAAUGAAAGCGUUGAGGAGUCUUCAAACAUUGUCCAAUUUUAUUGUAGGCAAGGGUGAAUCUGCAUCUGGUUUGGAAGAUUUAAAAAGUUUAAACUUUCUUUGUGAUGAACUCUGCAUUGCUGGAUUAGAGAGUGUGAAUAGUCCACAGAAUGCAAGAGAAGCCGCAUUAUGCGAGAAGCACAAUCUUGAAGCAUUGACUCUAGAAUGGGGGUCUCAAUCUAACAGUCCUCGGGAUGCAGUACUAGAGGAGAAUGUACUUGACACUCUACAGCCUCAUAAACGUAUAAAAGAGCUGGCAAUCAGGCACUAUGGUGGUGCAAGAUUUCCACUUUGGAUCGGACAUCCUUCGUUCUCCGAGAUGAAGGUCCUUAAAUUGGAGAACUGUGACAAGUGUGUAUCUCUGCCAUCGCUUGGCCUGAUGAAUUCACUUAAGCACCUUGCUGUUAAAGGGCUGAAGAAACUAAAAAGCAUAGAGUCUGCGGUCUUUCCAUCAUUGGAGAUUCUAAGUUUUGAGAAUUUGCCAGAAUGGGAGCAUUGGGACACCAAUAUCAAUGGAAAUGUGCACCUUGAAAUAUUUCCUCAUCUCCAAGAACUUUCCAUUGCAGAAUGUCCCAAACUCUCUGGAGAACUGCCUGAGCUCCUGCCCUCCUUGGAGACACUUGUCGUUAGUAAAUGUGAACAGUUGGCAGUUCCAUUGUCUUGCUAUCCGAUGCUCUGCAGAUUAGAAGUUGAUGAGUGCAAAGAACUCGUGUGCGGGACUCCAAUUAAUUUUAAGUUGGUAAAGUCUUUGACCAUUUCAAAUAGUUCAUUAGACAUGAAUGGAUGCAAUGGGAUGCUAUACCAUGGUCCAGCUGGCUCUUCACUGUCUAAACGCAUGACUAUUACAAAUGUUUUGGAGUUUGGAAAAUUAUUGAAGCCUGGAUUUCAGAUAUUAGAAUAUUUGGUAAUUGGCAAUUCUGAACAGCUCAAGUCAUGGAGGCGGGCCAGGAGACCUAGACGUUUUAAUGAACCAGAACACGGGCUAAAAAUUCUCGCUUCCCCUGAAGAGGUAACAAUUGAAGAAAGUUGCGUAAAUCUUGUUUUGUUUGCAGAGAUCAAUUUCUUUCCCAGAAAUCUGCGCUCUCUUCUAAUUUUCAAUAACAUACCUUUAAAAUCCUUACCCGAGGAAAUGAUGGACAACAAUUCACAACUGGAAAGCUUGUGCAUCAGAAAUUGCGAUUCUCUAACAUUCAUCACAAGACACAAGCUACCUUCAUCUCUAAAAAGUAUAGCAAUUAAGAAUUGUGAGAAAUUGCAACGUCCGUUCGAUGAUGAAGAGGAUGCUUCUUCUUCUUCUUCUCCUUCAUCCUCGUCUUCCCCAGUGAUGCUGCAAUGCCUGACUAUAGAGAACUGCCCAGAGCUCACCAGUUUAUCAUCGGGAAUCCAAUUCCUUGAGGCGCUUGAAGUACUCGAGCUAAGGGAUUGUCGAAAGCUGGAGUCAUUACCGGAUGGCCUGCAAAAUCUUAACUGUUUACAGAGCAUUCAUAUAGAUGGAUGUCCAAGUCUUGUUUCCUUCCCAGAAAGAGGGCUUCCCAACACCAUUUCGAGAGUUUACAUUCGUGGUUGUGAGAAGCUUGAAGCCCUGCCCAACGACAUGCACAAACUCAACUCUCUCGAAACUUUAAACAUACGGAAAUGUCCAAAUCUUGUGUCGUUUCCAGAGGAAGGUUUUCCUACCAGUCUAGUAUCACUUACAAUUGGAUAUGUCAAAAUGUAUAAGACACUCGUCCAGUGGGGGUUGCAUAGGCUUACCUCUCUUACACACCUCGAGAUUAUUGGAUGUGAUGAUGAAGCAGAGUGUUUUCCAGACGAGGAGAUAGGAAUGAUGCUGCCCACCUCUCUCACUCAUCUGCAACUUUCGGAAUUCAAAAAAUUGAUAUCUCUCUCUUCGACGGGUUUUCAGAGCCUCAACUCUCUUCAAUCUUUGUGGAUAUUGGGUUGCCCAAAUCUCACAUCAUUCCCAGAGGUGGGCCUUCCAUCCUCACUUUUGGAAUUACACAUUGUCAAGUGUCCAAAGCUUAAAGAAGUUUGCAAAAGAGACCAAGGAGAAGAGUGGCCCAAAAUUGCUCACAUCCCUUGUUUUGAGAUAGACUGGAAAUUCAUAUACGAUCCAGAAUCAGAGGAGUAGAUUCUCCUAUUAAGGUCAGUUGAUUUUUUAUUAUCCGUUAUAACAAGCUCCUCCUUUUUUUAUUUUUUUAAUAAUAAUUUAGCAGUUCUAUAUAAUUAUAAAUCCUCCGCCCUUAAUUGAAAAUGUCACUCAUUUGAUUCCAUUUUCACAAGUCAGAUCGUAUGUUGAGGUUAUUUGCAUUCUAUCGGUGUUUAUUAAGGUAAUUAGUGCGUUAUAGGUUGAUUACUCACAGAUUAAGUUAUAACAUUUAUCUUAAAAUUUAAUGUCAUAGACAGAGAUGAUUUUUUAAUCCAAAGUUUUCUUGAUUCACUUCAAUUAGCAUUUUCUUUUCCCCAGAUCAGGCACGCGGAGAGUUCCAAUCAAGAAUUGGAGCAUGUGAAUGGGAUUUUUGUGAAAACAUAAUGAUGCAGGAACUGCGAUCUCAAAGUCAACAGAAUUUUAUUUACUCAUUGACUUUUCAACUCCUGCGGUUAUUUAUGGGUGAAAGAAAGAUAAGGGCAAUUUCAAGAAAUUUGCAAACUCUGUCAAUUUCUUUUAAUUGUACCAAUUUGUCGUUUAUGCUUUGGUUUUAUUUUUUCAGUUUUGUUUAUUGCUUAGAUGGUAGCAUACUUGAAAUGAUACAUAGCCUUCACCGGCAGAAUUCUAGUCUUGGCUUUCACCUCUCUAACUCAUCUCAUCUGUUCCUAUUGGGAUUCCAGAAAUUGAAAUUUCUGUCAUCAAUGGGUUUCAAAGCCUCACCGCUCUCCGAUUUUUGUGGAUCGGGAAUUGCACAAAUCUCACAUCAUUUCCAGAGGUGGGCCUUCCAUCCUUGCUUUUUGGAAUUACAAAUUGGAAAAUGCUACUUUCCCCGGGUCAAAUCCCAGGUCAAACCCCGAAUUAAACCAAAACGACACCGUUUUGGUUUCUUUUUUUUGUCCUUUUUGCUUCCAUGAAACGUGGUCGUUUCAGCCAAACAAAAGCAAAUGUCUUCGUUUUUUACUUCCUCUCCUCUUCGAUUCUCCUCUUCGUUUUACCAACAGACCAACAGAGCACAAAUUGCAGAAGUCACUUGCACAUCAAUUCAUCACAAAAUGCAGAGUUUUACUAAAGAAAAAAACGAUGCCGUUUUUCUUGCCAAAUAUUUUCCAUUUCCUUCGUUCAUGGAGCUCCUGCCACCGCCAAAGCCAAAUAUUUCCCCUUUCAUUUCCUUCAUCAAUCAAGCUCCAGCCACUUGCUUCGUCGAUCGAGCUCUAGCCACAGCCAUUCGCAAAUCGCAGUCCACAAUCCGCGCCUGAAAUUGUCAUUCACAAUCCACAACUCACAACCAUUUUUUUUUUUGUAAAUUACUAAGCCAAAAGCUUUGCAUAAGCUUCUGCUUCGGUUUUGAAGAUUGUGAAGCUGGAAAUGUUUUUUCCCUUUUUAUAAAUGGAUAAUUGAAAGUUUGAACUUUACCUUCGUACUUUCUUUUUCAUAAAUUGCUCAUGGUGCAGUCUCAUUUUGCUAGUUGAAGAAACAGUUAAGGGGGUCUGUAGUUGAGAAGAAAGAGGAAACGAAAAUGAAAAGAAAAAGCUUAAGUCUCGGUGCGUUCAAGUAGCAUUUUUUCAAUUAAAAAAUUUAAUUCUCAAAACGGCGUCGUUUUCUAAAGUUUCGGGGUUUGACCCGGGAUUUGAUCCGGGGUAAAUAGCAGAACUCUUACAAAUUUACAGUUGUCAGAAGCUUGAAAAAGUGUGUAAAAGAGAUCAAAAUUCUUGUCUUGGCUUUCACGGAUAGUUUUUAUCACGUAACCACGUGAGGAAGCAUGUGCUGGAGCCUGAAUUCAGUUAGUUAAAGUUUGUUAACCACGUGUCAACAAACUGUAUAAUCUGGAAAAUAAGCUGGCUAUUGAAACAGGGUAUAAAGGCUGGUUUUUCGGACUAUCGAGAGCUGAUUCUAGAGUCUUGUAGAAAGAGGUUUGUGAGAGAGAAAGUGUCAUCUUGUUCUCUGUAAAAUCCGAUAUAGGGCUCUGUAACGAUCUCCAUUGUUGAAUCAAUAAAACUCAUCUAGAAGCUUCUCUCGUGGACGUAUUCUGAGCAAUCAAUGCACAGCUGAACCACGUAAUAUCUUGGUUUCUGUGGGUUCUUGUUUUGGUUCUUGAUAAAUUCUUGUUGUUGUAUUGAGGUGUGAUUUGAUCUGUCUAAACUUGUAUCUGUGCAACUUGAAUUGAUUUGAUGAUAAGAAUCUUGGGCAGUGAUCAGAUUCGUUUAGUUUAAAGAACAAGCUGAUUACUACCGUACCUAUGCAUGGACCUGCAACCUGUGCUGACAAAACUGAAACUGUGAGUUUGAGGUAAAAAGGUCCUGGACCCUCACAGUUUAACUUUGACUUGUUGCUUUCUGGAUAAACAUAUUUUAGAAAUUUGCAAUUUGUUGUUAAUUAUGGUAUGUGAUUUUCUUCUUUGUUUUCGCUUUUGUAGAAUCUACCGUAUUACAUAUUGGCAGUUGUAUCUGAGGUACCUUUUUUGCAUUUAACUUGCCUUUAUCUGUUUUGCCUGUUACUUAACAACACAAACACAUCAUUUCCCAAACAUUUGGAGAAGCAUCUCAAGAUGCUUAACAAACUUGACAAACUUCAAGAUGCUCCCAAGCCUUGAUUCUUCACAAUGGAAGACCUGUGAGUACACUUAUGCCCGCAAUUAUUGUGAAGUGAUUGCAACUUUGAUGCAGCGAAAUGGUUUGCUGAUGCAAAGCUUUAAAACUGUUAAGAAUUACCCUGCAGGCUUGUUGGAUGUUGUAUACUCCAAAAGCCACCAACACCAAGAACUAUAACAGCAAGACUAGGUUUGCAUUAAUUCAAUUAGCUGAAAUAAUGAUGCAAAUGGCACUAUCCAGCUGGACUUAGAGACUAGUCAGGUCAAUCAUCCAUUUCAUCAACAGUUAAUGUCAGGAUGGUGGCUAGCAGAGGAAACAAAGGAUAUGUUGGAAUCAAUAAGAACAGUGAGAAGCAUGAGAGGAGCUUUGAUUAUAAGUAGGCUCAAUGAACUAGUGUUGGUAAGUGGUAAUUAGAGCAAUUUGUGAGCUUAGUAGAGUUUCAAUAUUUUCUGUUUGGGAUAUAGUUGAUAAGUUGAUACUCUGAUUAAGAAGGCUGAUUAUAGUAGCUGACUAUAUUAACCGGGUUCUCUUUUUUGGUUUGCUGUUGUUUUUUCUUUCAAUAUCUUUUUCAACAUUAGGUUUAGCUGUUGAAGAACAAGCUUGGGUUUGAUUAUCAGGUAAGAACAAAUGAAUGCUUUAACCAUGUUUCUCACUUAUCACAAUGCACGGAUUGAAGGCGUCUGAGUUGAUCCUGAAAAUUUGAUGGAAACACUUCUCUGUUUUCAUAAAACAGGACAACCAGAAAUAUCUGAUCAUGCCUGAGAAUUCGUCGCAUUGAAAUUUUCUACCAUUGCCAAACAUAGAAUAAACCAGGGAUACAUUAGCUUAAGACUCAAUUUUGAGAAGGAAGUUUGUACUUGCAGACUAUAAAAUCAUGUCCACCUUGUAUGUUUCUGUGGGGAAUGAAAGAUUCUGUGUGUUCUUUUACUUCGGGUUUGCUGAAAUCACAUUUGUUUUCUCAGAUGCUUUCCGGAAGGUAACAACGUCAAUUUAAAAAAUGUUGGGGUAAGAUGCAUCAUGCAGUGCUGCUCAACAUGAGAAUUCCUGGCCGCAUUACCCGUAUGUGGAAUGAUCUCACACUACAACCUUGAGAAGGUUGUAAGGAGUACACAACUAGAUGCGAGUAGUUUCAAAAUGAAUUCACAUGGAAUUAUAUGUUGCCGCUUAUUACUAUCACGUCUAUCCGAAAAUUCUUGGAAUUUGUCACCAGCAUUGAAGGAUUGUAUACGUGAAGACAUAGCUGAUGGCCUUGCGAAAGCUCCAUCAGCACUUAUAUCGGAAACAGCUGGUUGUAGUUGCUCCUGAGUGAUAUGAUUAAUAGAUACUGUAAAAAUGAACUGUGCCACUCAUAUCGAAAACCAGCUGUUAUGAUGUGUUGGUAAUGUGUUUGAUGCUUGUUUGAUUUAUGUUGUAUUCGGCUAUAAAUCAAAGAUCAGAACAUGGGUGUGUUACUGGUUUCCAAAUCAAAAAAUGCCUUGUGAUGUUAGUGUUCACUGUUUUCACAGGAGACCAGGUUCCUUGUUAAUGAGUCAAGAAGAAGACAAGUGAAUCCAUGUCUGAGUUCAAAUGUGUCUUUUCUAUUUCUUUUACUGACAUUUAUUUUGAUUUCUUUGACUAGAUGACUAAAGAGUAAAGAUAGAAGAAAUCAAAACAAAUGAGUCAGGUCCCACCUGGCCCAUUGGCCCAUCUCUCUUCCAGCCCAAAUCACUCUCAUUCGCUAUUUUGCCACCUUCAUUUCACUGCCCUCAUAGCUCCCCGUUCUCACGGUGGCUGCCAUCUUUCUGCUCACGCAUCUUUCAAAUUUCAAACCUAACAGCAUUCUGUUGCUCUGUCGUGGGUACUUCAAUUUCUGUCACCUUCGGUAAGCUUAUCUCCGCCCCUCUGUGGCUGUCUCUUUACAAUGUUGUUUCUUAUUCAAUUUACAGAAUUAAAUUCACUGUUCAGUUUAUGGGUUAGAUUUUUAUUCAAAAUAAUAUUAAACCCACCUCAGAUUUUAUCCCGUAGUAUGUAAAGUUCAUGUAAAGUUUCCACCUUUACGACCGUCCGAUGUUUAAAGUUCUAAUUUUGUUCCGGGGUUUUAUCAGUUUAUUUAGAAAUUAUGUCCAUUGUUUUUAUGAAAAUGGAACUAUUUUCAUUUGUUUAUUUCUCUAUGGAUGAGAAAACCGGUCUUUAAGCUAUAUAAUCUUUAUUUGAUUAUUAGAUUUCUCUUUUGUUAUUCAGAUGAGUUCAGUUUUCCAAUUCUGUGCAAUUGUUUUGUUGCAUUUUUCAAUUUUAUUUUUCCAAUGCGACGUUUAUGUUUGUAUUUUUUUAAAAGUGGACAUGAAUUUUGAUUUGUUGUUGCUUUGUUGUGAUCGAGUAGCCAAUUUUAAGUCCAUAUUAAACUUUCUCAAUUAUUAGUUGAAUUAUUUGGAUUUGAAAUUUUAAGUUCUUAAAACCGCCAUUUUAACUUGUUUGUUAAUGACUCUGUUGAACUUCAACAUUUGUUUUCAAGAACAAAAUUGAUGGAACUAUAAACCUUCGUUUGUCACAUGUGGGCAACAUGUUAUGUUAGACAGAGUGAAAUCGACAGAAGAAACCAAAACCUUGGAAACAGAGACACAGAGAGAGAUCGGCAGAAAUGGCUUGGUGCAGAGUACGCUCAGCUUCAUCGACACUCUUCAUUAGGCUUCUCCGCCCUUCCAUUCUCAACAAUAACACUACUUAACGCUAUCAGUCCUGUGGUACUCUUGUUUCUAUACUUGUGGAAUCUCUCUUUUAAUCCUCAAAGUUUGAAUUAAAUUAUAUUGCUCUGUAUUUCUGCAGAAACUGAAUCAGUUGGUGAUGACAUUAAUUCUCAAGUUGGAAGUUGCAUGCCACUUGCUUGUAUGCAUGUUGGGACCAUCAUCAACAACAUUGAGGUAAACUCAGCCAAGAUUUUGAAAAAGAAUCCACUUCAAGGUACUGCUUAGUUUCUGGAAAUGAGAAACUGAUCGACACUAGACGUCAACCCACCAUUGAUACAGUGUCUAACCCAGCCAUGAAGCUAAGGUGCUUAGGAAGGCUGGUCAGAGCCAUUGGUUGGGCCAAAGACCUGUGAUUAGAGGAGUACCAAUGAAUCCAGUUGAUCAUCCUCGUGGUCGAGGUGAGGGACGAGGCAAAAGUAGCGGUAACCAUGGAAGGUGUUCACUUACACCUUGGGGCAAGCCUUGUAAGUGGUGUAAAACUGCAUCUCGUAAGAAGAAAAGGAAAUUUAGCUGUCUGAUAAUAUUGUCCUUCUGUGCUAUUUAGCCUUUUUAAUAUUGUUACAUUGUUUGUUAUAUCUUUGAUGUUAGUUUUGGACCAGCUUUUAACUGAUCCAUAAUGAAACUGAAGUUUAAUUUUCGAUUGAACUUUUACUGGUUUUACUCCUGUCAUUUCAAUUUAGCAUUGAUUUAAGAUGCUGAAUUCUGUGAUUGGAGUCUGUAGAUUGGAAAGAGAGAUAUUAUAGGAUAGAAUAUAGAUUUUGUGUUUUGGUUUCUCAUGUUUAGAGAUAUUCUGUUCUUUUUCAUUUAUUCAAUUUGGUUAGUGGUGAUCUCUUAAAGAGUCAAUGCAUGUGUGUUUAUAUACUUUUCUUUUGGCCUUGAUUCUAUUUCUUGGGGAGUUUAUACAGAUUCCUCUUUUAUGCUUCACAUGCCACAUGAAAGAUGGAAGCCUUUUGUGUGAUUAGAAUUGACUUGCAUCAUAGUAACUUUGAACCACUGUGACAUUUUUAUAAUAGCAGUUUGCGAUCUCCUUGAAGGAUUCAAAGCAUUUUUUUUGUUAGUCUUGGCUUGCAUUAAAAUCCUUUAUACGGAAUGGUUGGUCUCCUUUAAAGCAUUUCCUGUUUUAAGUAAUCAAAAUCUUGAUUCGGAAGUGUGUUUUAGCACUAAUAAAGGUUCUUUUAAAUACUAAAUUGAUUGUGAGUCUUCUAUAUCAUCUCAUUGAAAUACAUGAAAGCGAUAUUGGCUACAAAAGUACACUUGGGGUUGUUUAUAAAGUCUUCAACAGCAUUUGUUUUUUUUCCCCUUCUUCCUCGUGGUUGAUUUUUUAGUUGUUCUUUAACAAAACACUUAAAAGGUUCUCUUUGAAGGUUUCUGAAAAUAAUUUUAACAUCGCCAUUUUUCAGAAGCACUUUAGAUACCUGUGGCAUUUAGAAAAUUUUGUUCCAGCGUUCACAUAAUAUACAUAGAAAUUUGAAUUUAUUUAAUUAUGAGCAUGUGCUAGUGCCUAUUGGCAUCCACUUGUAUAUACGAAUGUAUUAUACAAUACAAUAUUAGCUUGACUGUAGCAUAGAGGAGAAUAGGGUCGGAAUUGGUCUGAAUUCUGAUCUUUGAAUAAAUAUAAUAGCUGAUUGAAGCUGCUCAUGUGACUCGAUUGUCGGCAGCUUACAUAAGGUCUUUUAGCUUUUUAAAAAGUUUUGUGAUAUUUCAUAGUUCACAUGGAUUGCUACAAUAUAGAAUACCCAAUUAGGGCAUUUUUAUUUACUAUGCAUAGGAGUCUUGAGUCUUCCUUCAUGCGCGCGCGCGCGCGCACACAUAUAUUUCCCACUUCCGUUCACUCCAAAAGUGAAAAUUGCGGGCAAUUUUUAUCUUCAGUAAAAUUGGAGUAGAUGUUGUUCUUAUUGGCGCAAAUUUGCGAACCAUGUUUGUGGGACCCUUAACCUUGGGCCUUUGUUAUGAUUAUAUGCAUUCAGGCUUUUGGUAGACCCUUGGAUAGUAUGAUCAAUGUAUUAUAAUUUAGAAUUCAUAUUUAUAAGAGUCAGUUUGGUAAUGUUAUAAUUUUUAAAAUAAUUACUGUUAGUUAUACUAUAGAAAUAAUCAGUUGUAAAUAGAAUAAGUUAAACAGUUGAUAAAUUUUGUUUUUAAGGUGUUGUGAGUUUUAAAAACAAUUUGUAUGUAUUUAGUAAAUCUCGCUUUUAAAGUAUUAUAAGAAUGCAAAAGACUUAAACGGAUAGAAAUCUAUAAAAUUUAUUUAAUCUAUAAAAUUUAUUUACAUGUGCAUGUAUACAAUAAUAUUUUGUGCAUGUACAUAAUAAUUAAUAUAACUGAAAUAAAUAUUUUUAUUUUAUUAAUUAUAUAUUUUUCUUAUUAUCUCAAUAUAAUUGGUAAUAAUAAUCUUUUUAAUAAUGCAUUUACUAAUCAGUAAUCGAAAUGGGCUGAAAUCUGAAUGGAGUUUGAAAAUCAUAAUAAAUUGUUUACUUUAGCUAUAGGAAUCAAAAUUACAAUGAGCUAUAUUAUCAUUAAUAUAUUUAUUUUGUCUUGGAAUUGAAAUGAAUUGUUACAAAUUGCUAAACUAAUUUUAUUAUUAUCAAUAUUAUUAUUAAACAAGGUAAAGGAAAUUUUUAAUUUUCACUAGGUGUAGAAAUGCCGAUUCACUUUUUAUUCUCAUUCUCAUUCCGUCUCCUCAUAGGAUUACCUUUUCACAUUCUCAAAAAUUUACAGUUGACUCACAUUUCAUUCUGAUUCCUCCUUAUUUUAAAAGUAAAUAAGUUAAAGAAUCAUAUUCCCUUAUUCUUGUUUUUCAUUCACAUUCCUUCUCCUUAUUUUGGAAGUAAAUAACUUAAAGAAUCAUAUUCUCUUAUUCUUGUUCUCAUUCUCAUUCUCAAUUAGUAAGUACACUAUAAAUGCAAUGAUUUUGUUUCCUAAUUAAACAAGGUUAAUUUUUAAAUUUUUAUAAUAGAUGUUAAGAUAUAUGUAGAAUUAUAUUAAAUAUAAAACUGAUUCCCAAAAUCAUAUUUUAUAAAACUAUUUUUUCUUAUUUUUUGAAAUUUAUUGUAGGAUGGGGUGAUUUUAUCAAAGUAAUUUUUAAAAAAAAAUUCGGACCCAUUUGGGAUUGCUUUUGGAAGGCUCAAAAAGGAUUUUGAAUAGCUAAAAUUUAAGUUUGGUGUUCUAUAAUUUUUUUUUUUUAAAAAAAUAACUUCUGAUAAAAUUAUCUUAUCCACAUUAGAUUUUAAAAAGAAAGGAAAAAGUAAUUUUUUAAAAUCUGAUUUUAAGAAUCAUUUUUAUACUUAAUACAAUUUCAUAUAUAUCCUGAUAUAUAUCAUAAAAAUUCAAAAUUAUCUUUAUUAGUUAGAAAAUAAAAUCAAUAACUUUAAAAAGAUUAUUAUUAUUUCCAAUUAUAUUGAGCUAGCAAAAAGAAAUAAAAUUACUAAUAUAAAAUUUAUUUUAACUAUUAAUUAUUAUAUUUACCAAUAAAAAAUAUUUUAUAUACACAUUUAUAAAUAUGUAAAUAAAAUUUAUUCAUAUCUAAUUCAACCAUUUACAUUACUACAGCAAUUUAACAACUGGUUGUCAUUGCUCGGGAAUUAUAUAAUUACCAUAUGUUGUAAAAAUGCAUUGAGCCAUGCCAUGUGUUUGAUACAGGUUAUGCUUGUUGGAUUAAAUUGUACUCACCUAUAAAUCAAUGAUUCAGUACGUGUGCAUGUUAGUGGUCUUCAGAAUCCAGAAUAAUAAAUGCCUUGAAAUGCUUGAGUUCAAUGAUUUCGCAGAAGACCAGGUUCCUUGUUAAUGAGUCAGCAUGACUGAAUCCUUCACUAAGCCAAAUUUGUUUCCACUUUUAGUUUAGAAAUUGUCAUUGAUUAAGAAAGUGUUUGAUAAAAUGCUUUGGGAGCACUAUUCGUUGGACGUUUGCCCAGAAUUUAUGAAAUCAUUGGUGUUUCAUCCUAUUUGUAACACUCUUCUUUAUUUUCUAUUCUAACGAAGAAAUCUUUUAUUAGAAAAGUGACAAGAUUGCACCUUUCAUUUGUAUGUUAAGGAGGUGUAAAAUUUUCUCGUUAAAAUCCCAUCAUGAAAAAAACUCACGGGCAAAAACCUACUGAAAAUUAAAGAAAGAAGAGUAAAUCAUGAUAAAUACUCUCUCUUUUACAAUGCAAGCGGAUGCUUCAAUGAGUAGAUCAUGCGCCAAACUUGUAUAUCGUUGUUGGUAGUGCUUUGUUGAAUCAAUAUGCUAGAUUUUCACUUCCCUUUUUUUUUUUCUUCUUUUUUUUCCUUGUGGAUGCGAAAAUGAUUUGGGUUAAACUAUACUUAAUGCCGGUUUGGUACGACUUCUCUACUAAUUAAAAGAGUUUUUUUUCUUAAAUGUUCAAAAAGCUUUUAUUAUUAUAAAUUGUAAUUUGAGUGGAUUUCUUAGGAUUAAACAAGUUAUAUUUUUGUCUCUAUAAAGAAGUUCAAGUUAUAGAUUUUGGCAAUAGAGAUGUAGAGGUUUUUUUUUUUCAGAGAACUAAAUUGUGGAGACUAUCUUUAUUUGGUUAUACAACUUUUUUUUUUUUUAAUUUCAUAACAUAAUUUUAAAAGACUUAUUUAAUAAAUUUGAUAUUUUUUUGUAAAAAUUAUCAUUCACGUCCAAACUACUGAAGAUUUUUUUGUUAAACGCACUACUUAAAAGCUAUAUUAAUUAUAAACUUUCUAAAAAAAAAAAUCAAUUCAAAGAGUUAUAGCAAACAAAGUGCUAGUUAACUUCAGUCGAUAAUAAUCUUCUAAUCCGUCCUACAAAUGACUUUCGACAAGAGUGGUGCUACUCACAUCUCUUCAAAACCCAUUUGACACCCCGUUUUCUUUAUUUAAAAUUUUAUACAUUUGAAAAUUAUUUUUUCUUUUACUUGACACUCUUCAAAUUCUAAAACUAAGCUUCAAAGAACCUUCGUCAUUAAAUCUCAUUGCCUUCCUUUAUUCUUGUUACUUGAGAAGAAGAAUGAGAGUCUGGAAGAAUGAAAGAAAAUUCAGCGAGAUAGAAAUCUAGUAAUUUCAUACCAUGAUUCAGAAUUUUUUUUUUCUCAAAAGAAUCUACUAUUCUUCUAUAUUUUAUAUAAAAAAAAAGAGGAAAAGAGGAAACUGAGAGACUCUUUGUUUAAUGCUUGAAAGUUAGAAAGAAAAGGUCAGGAAGCUGCCUGGCAAUGAGAGUGAUGCAUCAGCACUAAUUUCUAUCUCGAUAGCUACCAAUUACCACCCCUAGAAAGGCUGUUGAUCAACAAGCCAUAUCUACUGGUUUCCUUUCUUUAAAAGUUCUAAUGGUCCCCUUAAAAAUCUCUAUAUGCUCAGUCUUCUCAUGAUAUAUCUGAUUUUCGCUGAGAAUUAUAGCAAGCGCUUCAGAUAUCAUAAUACUUUGUGACUGACUACUGUGCAUGCUUAAUUAUAAGAUUAUUCCUUGUGGCCAAUUAAAAUGUCCCCCUUUAGAGCCUCUGUAUUUGAAAAAGCAAGACAAUGAGCUUAAUUAUUGUCAAGGUCUCCGGUAGGAUACUCCUAAAUCCACAUACCCACCCACCAGAACUCCAAUCUUGAAACUUAUAAACCAGGGAUAUGUCAGGCCUUUAAAGCACCACUACAUACAUUUGAGUCUGAAAUUGCUCCAAUUAGUAUUAUGAUUAUUAUUUUAAAAAACUCAACCUGAGCAACGUGCCUCAGCAUACAAUAUUUAUUGACAACUACAAAGUAAUAGUGGGAGGGGGUUGCCCUGGGUUUUGUUUAAAAAUUGAAGUAAAAAAUUUUCAAAUUUCAAAUUUCUAGUACAAAGAAAAUUGAUGACUAAAUUAAAUUCUGCAAAUUAAUUUCUAAUAUUACAUGAAAAUAUUAUCAAGUUAAUUGGUAACAUCGUUAAUCACUUAAUCCUCAAUCUAAUACGUUAUGUAUUUGUUACUCUGUCUUAAAUCAAAAGUUGCGGUGAUUUAUUUUUUAUUUUCACUAAUCAGAAAGGCAUGUUGAGCUUUUAUUUUGUUGAAAAUGAACCAAAAAAACUCCGAUUGGGAGAUUAUAAAUGUAAUUAACAAUAAUUUAACUUUCAUUUUGAAAGUCAUUAUAUUAUUUAUUCAGGAGAAGCGUUCUUUUAUAUUUUAUAGAUAUAAUGUUUGCUAAUCCUAAUUUAAGCUAAAGCAUAUGCAUUUCCUAAUUAAUUCUAGUUUAAGCUUAUUCAACUGCAAUCAAUUAAUGUUCAAUAAUACAAAUUCCAAAUACUAUAUAUUCUAAGAAUUUUAAUCGUAAUGACAAGGUGAUCAUUUUAAUUAUUACCGUUAAAUUAUAUAUGUAUGGUGGAGAGGAGUCCACACGGUUUUGACGAGAAAUUAAAGAAUUAAAAGACAAUAUUUAGUUAAGCUAGUAGUAUUUGUUCUGUUUAGUACGUCGUUUUACCAGCAAGCAUCCCGGCAAUGCACGCAUUAAUAAAAAAAUUUAUCUGUUUGGACUGAUUGGUAGUGAAAAAUUCCACAUACUUUAAAUUAAGAAAAUGCUAAGCAUCUUAAAGAAAACAAUUAAAAUAUUGUCACUUGAUGCUUGAAUCAUUAUUGUUAAAUAUCUCGCUUGAGUUGUAUUCCCCAGUUGUGAGUAUCAUUAUUGUCUUUGCAAUCUAAUCAAUUAAUUUUCUUUCUGGAGACAAGAUUUUGAUUCCUUUCAUCGUUACAAAAACGGAACCAUGGUUGAUGUGGGAGAGAUCUUACUCAACGCCUUCUUUCAGGUGUUGUUUGACAGGUUGGCUUCCCGUGAUUUGCUCAGCUUUGUCCGUCAACUUGGAGGGGUGGUCGAUUCCGAGCUCAAGAAGUGGGAAAGAAAGCUGAAGAUGAUUCAGGCGGUGCUCAACGAUGCAGAGGAGAAGCAACUGACCGACGAGGCCGUGAAGAUGUGGCUGGACGAUCUCCAAGACUUGGCUUAUGACGCUGAGGACAUUCUUGAUGAGUUUGCUACUCAAGCUUUGGAAAGCAAGUUGAUGGCGCAAAAUCAGGAUAGCUCUGGCCAGCUUCUCAGUUUCAUCCCGGCUAGUUUGAAUCCGAAUAUUACUGGAGGGGCAUCAUCAACUGCUGCUGCUACACAGCAGAGGCCGCCCAGUUCGAGUGUCCCAACAGAACGUGAAGUAUUUGGAAGAGAAGAAGAUAAGGCCAAAAUUCUUGAUAUGGUAUUGGCUGAUACCCCAAGUGAUCAUGCCGACUUUGUUGUAAUACCCAUUGUUGGCAUGGGCGGGAUAGGAAAAACAACUCUCGCUCGGGAGGUCUACAAUGACAAGGCCGUUGAACAUUCCAAGUUUGAUGUAAAAGCAUGGGUUUGUGUAUCUGAUGUCUUUGACGUUUUGGGCAUCUCAAAGGCGCUUCUCGAGUCAAUCACCCGCAGGCCAUGUCUUCUAAACAGUUUAAACGAAGUGCAGGUUGAAUUGAAAGUAGCUGUGGAUAAAAAAAGAUUCUUGCUGGUCUUAGAUGAUGUUUGGAACGAGGAGUACAGCUUGUGGGUAGACUUAAAAGCUCCGUUCCUGGCUGCUGCACCAAACAGUAAGAUGAUCGUCACCACACGCAAUUCAAAUGUUGCAUCAACAAUGGGGCCAGUUGAACAUUACAAUCUCAGGAGUCUAUCAGAUGAUGAUUGCUGGUCCAUUUUCAUAAAGCAUGCAUUUGAAUCUAGAGAUCUUAACGCACAUCAAAUUUCAGAAUCAUUCCGCAAGAAAGUUGUUGCCAAGUGUGGAGGCUUGGCCCUGGCAGCAAAAACACUCGGAGGCCUUCUGCGUACGACGAGGCAUGAUGCGUGGGAUGAUAUAUUAGAGAGCAAAAUAUGGGAUUUACCUCGACAAAGUGGGGUUCUCCCAGUAUUAAGAUUGAGUUACCAUCAUCUUCCUUCUCAUUUGAAAAGAUGUUUGGCUUACUGUGCAAUCUUUCCAAAAGAUUAUGAAUUCAAUGAGAAGGAGGUGACUUUUUUAUGGAUGGCCGGAGGUAUUAUUCGACAGUCAAGAUGCAAAGAGCGGCUAGAAGAUUGGGGCAGCAAGUGCUUCCAUGAUCUGGUGUCAAGGUCAAUUUUUCAGCAAACAGCAAUCUCUGAUAGUUGUAAAUUUGUAAUGCAUGACCUUAUCCAUGAUCUUGCUGAAUUGGUCUCUGGAGAAACCAUAUUUAGGUUAGAGGAGGCCAAUACUCUGUCAAGAAGUUUUGAAAGGGUUCGCCAUUCUUCCUAUGCUUGUGGUGAAUAUGAUGGUAAAAAUAUGUUCGAGGUUUUCAAUGAAAUUGAACAUCUACGAACAUUCUGGCCAUUACGCUUACGCAUAAGAGGUGGCUCUAAUACUAGUUACAUAACUCGUACGGUUCUAUCUGAUUUGCUGCCGAAGUUCAAAAUGUUGAGAAUGCUAUCUUUACAAGGAUACCGUAUUGGUGAGUUACCAAUUCCAUUGGAAGAUUUGAGACUUCUAAGGUUCCUCAACCUUGCUGACACUGACAUAAGAAGUUUACCUGAGUCAACAUGCAAACUGCUGAACUUGGAAAUUUUGAUAUUAAGAAAUUGUUCCUGUUUGAUAAAGCUUCCGCAGAAAAUGAGGAAUUUGAUCAAUUUACGUCACCUCGAUAUAAGAGGUGCGAAGUUGCUGAAGGAGAUGCCAUUCGGAAUGAAAGAGUUGAAGAAGCUUCAAACAUUGUCCAAUUUCAUCGUGGGCAAGGGCGAAACU